CCGAUACCUAACAUAAACAAAGGAGGAAUAACAACAAGCAAGGGAGGAGCCGUUUCAAAGACAAACACCGCCUACUACUACUACUACACUCACGUGGACAGGCUGAGGUAAAAUUUAAAACUAUGAAAUCGUCCUGUCUCUGAAGAGCACUACUGCUGACCAUUUCUGCAAGCGCAAAAUCAUCACCAAGAAGAAUAAACGUGCUUUGGAAGACAAUUUCUUGCGACCUCUUAUGGUGGAAGUGAUGCAACCUCUUAUGCUGGAAGUGAUGCGACCUCUUGUGAUGACAAUGACGAAAUUGGAAAGUAGGGUGCAAGAUCAGCAGAAUUCACUAGAAAUAAUGAUAGGUACCAUCGAACAUUUGAAACAAACUCAGGCUGCUGCACCAUUGGACCUGAUUUAUCCCUGCUGGACGGAUUGCUACCAAUACAAAGAUAUGUAGACUUUGAGGACUUUGAACAACAGAUAAAUGGGGACAGUGCCCUUAGAAAGUCACUGGUACAUCGACUCCAGAUUCUUGGGGGAGCAACCAUCUAAGCAGCAGUCAAAAUCAUGAUUGACUUCUGCAUGACAAGUGGACUCCAGUAUGAGUUCAACUGGGAAGGUCGUCUUGGCUGGAAGACUAAAACAAAUACAUGCAAGAAAGGGUUUGAGAACACGACAUUGUGUGGAAUUAUAAUAAAUAUUCUGGUGAACAAGACACAAUUAUCAACUGAUGAAACUGAAGUAGGGAAAACUGUGAUGAUUUAUCUAAAAAAAUGCAUGUGACAGAUACGUGGGAAGGAAAAGACCAAAAGACUUGCAUAGUCAGCAAAGUCAAGAUGAGAGUCCCAAUUCAUCUCAACCUAAUUCUGGUGGGGAUCCUGAAGGAAUAUAAUAUAGAGCACUUCUGCUGACUGUUGUCAAGGAAAUUAUAAAUAUUCAUGUAAUUUGUUUAUCACUCAAAUUUAUCUUAUUAUUGUCAGUCUCUUUUGAUUAGAUUUUUAUAAUAUUUAAAUGAAUAAUUUUUAUAUUUAAAUGAAUAAUUUGAUGUAGAGAAGUAUCAUUCUUUUAUCUAGUACAUACAGUGCUGUACUUAAUGAAUGGCAAUUUGUGUUCCUGCACUACUUUUUUUUUUUUUUUUAAAUUAAAUGGAUGUACCAUCUUGCACGAAGUCACAACAAACAUUAGACAGAAAUCCAUGAAUAUUUAUAAUUUCCUUUACUACAUCAUCAGCUAGCUUUUCUAAAAUAUUGUAUAUAGAAAUCAGAUAUAUUAAACAAUUAAGGAGAGUUUAUGUAGUAUGUAGUGAGAUAUAGAGAAUGCAGUAUAUAUAUGGUACUAGUUACUGCAACUGUUUUGUUAACAAUUUUUUGCCUUCUAAUAAAAUUUUAAUUGUGACUAUGUAUUUUGAUGUUAAACACCAGUAUAAUGGAAUCCCAUUUUUUUAUGUGUUGAUGCAUUUAUUGAAAUUAUUGUUUACAUGACAGCCACAAUACUUGAUCACAGAACAGUUUUUAAAAAGAGUAUGGAUUUGUUUCUAUUGACUGAUAAAUGUUUGCAUAAAAGUGUUUAAAUUAUUUUCAAAAAUAAUUUUGUCAAUACCUAAUUGCCACAUCACCCUAUACUACUUUAUCAAAAUAAAUUUAGAUGAAUAUUGCAACAUACAGAUACAUAAGGGUAUACUUUUUGUCCGGAAGAAUAUGAAAGAAAUGUUUUAUAUCUGUGUACAUCACCCUGUUGUAGCUAAAGUUUGAAAAUAAACUAUACAAUGUUUUAUGCAUGUAACUAUAGUGCUGAUAAAAGGUAAAGUAAGGAGAUCGAGCUUCUAACAUUU